rnacentral:rRNA from 1 species
AUUGAACGCUGGCGGCAGGCCUAACACAUGCAAGUCGAGCGGAUGAAGGGAGCUUGCUCCUGGAUUCAGCGGCGGACGGGUGAGUAAUGCCUAGGAAUCUGCCUGGUAGUGGGGGAUAACGUCCGGAAACGGGCGCUAAUACCGCAUACGUCCUGAGGGAGAAAGUGGGGGAUCUUCGGACCUCACGCUAUCAGAUGAGCCUAGGUCGGAUUAGCUAGUUGGUGGGGUAAAGGCCUACCAAGGCGACGAUCCGUAACUGGUCUGAGAGGAUGAUCAGUCACACUGGAACUGAGACACGGUCCAGACUCCUACGGGAGGCAGCAGUGGGGAAUAUUGGACAAUGGGCGAAAGCCUGAUCCAGCCAUGCCGCGUGUGUGAAGAGGGUCUUCGGAUUGUAAAGCACUUUAAGUUGGGAGGAAGGGCAGUAAGUUAAUACCUUGCUGUUUUGACGUUACCAACAGGAUAAGCACCGGCUAACUUCGUG